rnacentral:rRNA from 1 species
AUUGAACGCUCGCGGGAUGCUUUACACAUGCAAGUCGAACGGCAGCGCGGACUUCGGUCUGGCGGCGAGUGGCGAACGGGUGAGUAAUGUAUCGGAACGUGCCCAGUAGCGGGGGAUAACUACGCGAAAGCGUAGCUAAUACCGCAUACGCCCUACGGGGGAAAGCAGGGGAUCGUAAGACCUUGCACUAUUGGAGCGGCCGAUAUCGGAUUAGCUAGUUGGUGAGGUAACGGCUCACCAAGGCGACGAUCCGUAGCUGGUUUGAGAGGAAGACCAGCCAGACUGGGACUGAGACACGGUCCAGACUACUACGGGAGGCAGCAGUGGGGAAUUUUGGACAAUGGGGGCAACCCUGAUCCAGCCAGCCCGCGUGUGCGAUGAAGGCCUUCGGGUUGUAAAGCACUUUCGGAAGGAAAGAAACGUCGCGGGCUAAUACCCCGUGGAACUGACGGUACCUGCAGAAUAAGAACCGGCUAACUACGUG